rnacentral:rRNA from 1 species
UUCCGGUUGAUCCUGCCAGACCUGACUGCUAUCGGAUUGAUAUUAAGCCAUGCGAGUCUUUGUAGCAAUACAAGGCAGACGGCUCAGUAACACGUAGUCAACCUACCCUAUAGAUGGGGAUAACCUCGGGAAACUGAGAAUAAUACCAGAUAGAACAUUAUACCUGGAAUGGUUUAUGUUUCAAAUAAUUUAUUGCCGUAGGAUGGGACUGCGGCCUAUCAGUUUGUUGGUGAGGUAAUGGCCCACCAAGACUAUUACAGGUACGGGCUCUGAGAGGAGUAGCCCGGAGAUGGGUACUGAGACACGGACCCAGGCCCUAUGGGGCGCAGCAGGCGAGAAAACUUUGCAAUGUGCGAAAGCACGACAAGGUUAAUCCGAGUGGUUUCUGCUAAAGGAACCUUUUGUUAGUCAUAGAACCACUAAUGAAUAAGGGGUGGGCAAGUUCUGGUGUCAGCCGCCGCGGUAAAACCAGCACCUCAAGUGGUCAGGAUGAUUAUUGGGCCUAAAGCAUCCGUAGCCGGCUUUGUUAGUUUUCGGUUAAAUCCAUACGCUCAACGUAUGGGCUGCCGGGAAUACUGCAAGGCUAGGGAGUGGGAGAGGUAGACGGUACUCGGUAGGAAGGGGUAAAAUCCUUUGAUCUAUUGAUGACCACCUGUGGCGAAGGCGGUCUACCAGAACACGUCCGACGGUGAGGGAUGAAAGCUGGGGGAGCAAACCGGAUUAGAUACCCGGGUAGUCCCAGCUGUAAACUAUGCAAACUCGGUGAUGCAUUGGCUUGAUGCCAAUGCAGUGCCGCAGGGAAGCCGUUAAGUUUGCCGCCUGGGAAGUACGUACGCAAGUAUGAAACUUAAAGGAAUUGGCGGGGGAGCACCACAAGGGGUGAAGCCUGCGGUUCAAUUGGAUCAACGCCGGA